ensembl:miRNA Mir804 microRNA 804
CCCUACACAUCCAUCUUUGAGGUCACAACUUCCCCAGUAGACUUGUUUCCUGACAUUCCUUGCGAGUUGUUCCUCACCUGGAAGAUGUGGUGGCGG